GGACUACGGGGGUAUCUAAUCCGGUUCGCGCCCCUAGCUUUCGUCCCUCACCGUCAGAAUCGUUCCAGUCAGACGCCUUCGCAACAGGCGGUCCUCCCAGGAUUACAGAAUUUCACCUCUACCCUGGGAGUACCUCUAACCUCUCCCGAUCUCAAGUCUAAUAGUAUCUCCAGCAAUUCCCACAGUUAAGCUGCAGGAUUUCACCAGAGACUUAUUAAACCGGCUACGGACGCUUUAGGCCCAAUAAAAACUGCUACCACUAGAGCUGCCGGUGUUACCGCGGCGGCUGGCACCGGUCUUGCCCAGCUCUUAUUCCAAAAGCUCUUUACACUAAUGAAAAGCCAUCCCGUUAAGAAUGGCACUUGGGAUCCCCCCGUCGCGAUUUCUCACAUUGCGGAGGUUUCGCGCCUGCUGCCCCCCAUAGG
rnacentral:rRNA from 1 species